rnacentral:rRNA from 1 species
GACAGGACGGAAAGACCCCGUGGAGCUUUACUGUAGCCUGAUAUUGAAAUUCGGCACAGCUUGUACAGGAUAGGUAGGAGCCUUUGAAACGUGAGCGCUAGCUUACGUGGAGGCGCUGGUGGGAUACUACCCUAGCUGUGUUGGCUUUCUAACCCGCACCACUUAUCGUGGUGGGAGACAGUGUCAGGCGGGCAGUUUGACUGGGGCGGUCGC